rnacentral:rRNA from 1 species
GACGAACGCUGGCGGCGUGCUUAACACAUGCAAGUCGAACGGAAAGGCCCUGCUUUUGUAGGGUGCUCGAGUGGCGAACGGGUGAGUAACACGUGAGUAACCUGCCCUUGACUUUGGGAUAACUUCAGGAAACUGGGGCUAAUACCGGAUAGGAGCUCCUGCUGCAUGGUGGGGGUUGGAGAGUUUCGGCUGUGGUGGAUGGACUCGCGGCUUAUCAGCUUGUUGGUGGGGUAGUGGCUUACCAAGGCUUUGACGGGUAGCCGGCCUGAGAGGGUGGCCGGCCACCUUGGGCCUGCGAUACGGCCCAGACUCCUACGGGCGGCAGCAGUGGGGAAUAUUGCGCAAUGGGCGGACGCCUGAUGCAGCAGCGCCGCGUGCGUGAUGACGGCCUUCGGGUUGUAAACCGCUUUCGCCUGUGCCGAAGCGUGAGUGACGGUAAUGGGUAAAGAAGCACCGGCUAACUACGUG